CCAUACCGGCACACGUAUCGCUGCAAUAUACAAUCGCACAAAUGUGCAAUCAAUAAUACAACAGGAUCAAUAAGCAAUCAUCCUCCAACUUUUUCCUGCAUCGAACAUCGAGUUAGAUUGUUAAACAGUCACGUGUUUGAUAGAUCGUCUCCUCGAGAAGCCACAAGUGAAGUACUAUUUGCAAGAAAAGCCAGUUCUUUCGACGGAACAACAGAGAGAGAGAGUCGUCAUAAAAAUACAAACGAGGAACAGGAGCAUCAGAUAAAAUCAAUCUGUCGAAAGACGUGCGGAAAUAUUCCUGCCGGUUGGGAUGAAUGAAACAUACGUGGGAAGCGCCACGCAAUGUAGGAAAAUAGCUUUUAAAGGAAAUGCUCGUCGGCUACGGAUUCCCGACGAUUUCCUGACACUAUCCGUAUUAUGAUCAAACGCGGUAACAGGAGAAACAAAUCCAUCGCACCAGCGAAUAUUGAAUAAUUCAACUGAGUCUAUCCUUGGGCGUCUACAAAGCAGAAGAGAGACAGAGGGAAACGAGCGAGUUAUGUCACGCGAAAAGGGUGACGAUGUAUUGUCUCGCUUCUUGCACAAUGAAGUGACUAAAGUUCUAUCUAUUUUACGUUUAUCAGAGAAACGCAAAGCAAGACAAAUAUACUGGAAAAGAAAUAUCCUCGCACACUCGGCUAGCCGCGAUGAAGACUAAGGAGAAGAAAAACUUUAAAAAGCCUCAUGACGACAAUAUUUAACGUGCAUACAUAUAAAAUAUCUCGGACUGCUCUGGAGGGAGAUAGUAACACAGAUACAGCCUAUGUUAAUUUCAAUAGAUUACGCAGUCACGAUAAUUAUAUGGUUCAUACGUAUUUCAAGGCUGACUCGGAAAUUUCUGUUUACAUUAGUGUUUUUCGAACUAUGAGUCGUGAUUCAUUAUUGAAACGUCUUUGUGCGAGCCGCAGACCACAGUCCACGCACAUCACGCACGUUUCACCAGAAGCGACAUUUCAUUGUGUGUAUGUGGAAAGUCUCAUUUAUCGACAAAAAAAAGACGUUUCCCCGUAUUCAUGAUGCAAUUGUGAUCCGUGUGAACACGAGCUUUCAAGGAACAGAAAUAACCGCAAUUCUCAUGACUUCUAAUAGACAGGACAAAAAAUUUUGUGUGUGAAUAACACUGCGCAAAAUAUCCUACACUAAUAAUUCUUUUUUAAAGAAUUUUUAUAAUAAAAUAUAUUUUCUCAGAGA
rnacentral:lncRNA from 13 species